GAUGAACGCUGGCGGCGUGCCUAACACAUGCAAGUCGAACGAACCUGACCUUCGGAAAAGGUUAGUGGCGCACGGGUGAGUAACACGUAGGUGACCUGCCCUGGAGUGGGGGAUAACUUCUCGAAAGAGAGGCUAAUACCGCAUACGCUCGGCCAUUCAGUUGGUCGAGUAAAGCUCCGGCGCUCCAGGAGGGGCCUGCGUCCGAUUAGCUAGUUGGUGAGGUAAUGGCUCACCAAGGCGAUGAUCGGUAGCUGGUCUGAGAGGACGAUCAGCCACACUGGCACUGACACACGGGCCAGACUCCUACGGGAGGCAGCAGUGAGGAAUAUUGGUCAAUGGGCGAAAGCCUGAACCAGCAACGCCGCGUGAGGGAUGAAGGCCUUCGGGUCGUAAACCUCUUUUUUGGGAGAAGAGACAAGGACGGUAUCCCAGGAAUAAGUCUCGGCUAACUACGUGCCAGCCGCCGCUGUAAGAC
rnacentral:rRNA from 1 species